rnacentral:lncRNA from 1 species
UUUGGCCUCAAUUUUCUCUAAUUCCAAGUAUAUAAAAAGAUACAUGGAUUUGAAUUUUGAGGAUCAUGAACUGAGUUGCUUCAAUUUGACCUCAAAGCAACUCAGUCUUGUUGCCUAUAUUGGUAGGACUUCAGCCAACCAAAAAUCACACAGAAUAGUGAAGAAUUGAGAGAGAAUCAAAGAGAUGAAAAUUCGGAAAAAUUACCUUCGAAUGAGCUUCAACCUUGCUUGAUC